AGAGAAGGCUGGACGGUCGCCGGCCGUGGCAACGCGGCGGGAGGAAAGUCCGGGCUCCGCAGGGCAGGGUGCUGGGUAACGCCCAGGGGGGGUAACCCCACGGACCAGUGCCACAGAAAAGAGACCGCCGUCUCGUCGAGCCUGCGAGGGUGGCGAGGCGGUAAGGGUGAAACGGUGAGGUAAGAGCUCACCAGCGGCGCGGGUGACCGCACCGGCUAGGUAAACCCCACCCGGAGCAAGACCCAAUAGGGGAGCAAUGGCGUGGCCCGCGCCGCUCCCGGGUUAGGUCGCUGGAGACGCCGGGCAACCGGCGCCCUAGAGAAAUGACCGUCGCCCCGGCGGGAAACCGACGGGGAGACAGAACCCGGCUUACGGGCCUUCUCUGGCG
rnacentral:RNase_P_RNA from 1 species